UGUUGUUAGGGAAGAACAAGUUGGGUAUUAACUGACCCAACUUUGACGGUACCUUACCAGAAAGCCACGGCUAACUACGUGCCAGCAGCCGCGGUAAUACGUAGGUGGCAAGCGUUGUCCGGAAUUAUUGGGCGUAAAGCGCUCGCAGGCGGUCCUUUAAGUCUGAUGUUGAAAUUUCGCGGCUCAACCGCGAACGGUCAUUGGAAACUGGAGGACUUGAGUACAGAAGAGGAGAGUGGAAUUCCACGUGUAGCGGUGAAAUGCGUAGAGAUGUGGAGGAACACCAGUGGCGAAGGCGACUCUCUGGUCUGUAACUGACGCUGAGGAGCGAAAGCGUGGGGAGCGAACAGGAUUAGAUACCCUGGUAGUCCACGCCGUAAACGAUGAGUGCUAGGUGUUAGGGGGUUUCCGCCCCUUAGUGCUGAAGUUAACGCAUUAAGCACUCCGCCUGGGGAGUACGGCCGCAAGGCUGAAACUCAAAAGAAUUGACGGGGGCCCGCACAAGCGGUGGAGCAUGUGGUUUAAUUCGAAGCAACGCGAAGAACCUUACCAGGUCUUGACAUCCUCUGCUAUUCCUAGAGAUAGGAAGUUCCCUUCGGGGACAGAGUGACAGGUGGUGCAUGGUUGUCGUCAGCUCGUGUCGUGAGAUGUUGGGUUAAGUCCCGCAACGAGCGCAACCCUUGAUCUUAGUUGCCAGCAUUUAGUUGGGCACUCUAAGGUGACUGCCGGUGACAAACCGGAGGAAGGUGGGGAUGACGUCAAAUCAUCAUGCCCCUUAUGACCUGGGCUACACACGUGCUACAAUGGAUGGAACAAAGGGAAGCAAAACCGCGAGGUCAAGCAAAUCCCAUAAAACCAUUCUCAGUUCGGAUUGCAGGCUGCAACUCGCCUGCAUGAAGCCGGAAUCGCUAGUAAACGCAGAUCAGCACGCUGCGUUGAAUACGUUCCCGGGCCUUGUACACACCGCCCGUCACACCACGAAAGAGGGUAACGCCCGAAGUCGGUGCGCUAACCGUAAGGAAGCCAGCCGCCUAAGGCAGUACUCUAUGAUUGGGGUGAAGUCGUAACAAGGUAGCCGUACCGGAAGGUGUGGCUGGAUCUCCUCCUU
rnacentral:rRNA from 1 species